CGUACGAUCACCGAAGUUAAGCAGCGUAGAGUCAGGUCAGUACUUAGAUGGGGGACCGCUUGGGAACACCUGGUACUGUAAG
rnacentral:rRNA from 1 species